rnacentral:rRNA from 1 species
AGGCGGAGGUUCCAGGUAAAUCCGGUACCUUUUUAACGCUGAGGUGUGAUGACGAGGCACUACGGUGCUGAAGUAACAAAUGCCCUGCUUCCAGGAAAAGCCUCUAAGCAUCAGGUAACACGAAAUCGUACCCCAAACCGACACAGGUGGUCAGGUAGAGAAUACCAAGGCGCUUGAGAGAACUCGGGUGAAGGAACUAGGCAAAAUGGUGCCGUAACUUCGGGAGAAGGCACGCUGAUAUGUAGGUGAAG